CAGCCGCCGCGGUAAUACGGAGGGGGCUAGCGUUGUUCGGAAUUACUGGGCGUAAAGCGCACGUAGGCGGCUUUGUAAGUCAGAGGUGAAAGCCUGGAGCUCAACUCCAGAACUGCCUUUGAGACUGCAUCGCUUGAAUCCAGGAGAGGUCAGUGGAAUUCCGAGUGUAGAGGUGAAAUUCGUAGAUAUUCGGAAGAACACCAGUGGCGAAGGCGGCUUACUGGCUCAUACUGGACGCUGAGGUGCGAAAGCGUGGGGAGCAAACAGGAUUAGAUACCCCAGUAGUCCCUGUCUCUUAUAC
rnacentral:rRNA from 1 species